rnacentral:lncRNA from 1 species
GGGCCAAAACUGGCCAUUUUUGGCUGAGUGAGCGAGCGGCGAGCGGCGGACAGCGAGCGAAGCGAGAGGCAGCACCGUCCCUGCUAUACGAAAGCCCCAUCCAGCCCUGUGCCACCCGGGGGGUUCCAGGGUGCUGAGAUGGCUGACAUUUUGCUCCGCUCACGACGGUCGCCGCGCCACGCAAGAACAGGCCAAAAACUGGCCAAAACCGCCCAAAAACGGGCCAAAACUGGCCAUUUUUGGCUGCGCGAGCAAGCGACGAGCGGUGGACAGCGAACGAAGCGAGAGGCAGCACCGUCCCUGCUAUACGAAAGCCCCAUCCAGCCCUGUGCCACCCGGGGGGUUCCAGGGUGCUGAGAUGGCUGACAUUUUGCUCCGCUCACGACGGUCGCCGCGCCACGCAAGAACAGCCCAAAAACAGCCCAAAAACGGGCCAAAACUGGCCAUUUUUGGCUGCGCGAGCGAGCGGCGAGCGGCGGACAGCGAGCGAAGCGAGAGGCAGCACCGUCCCUGCUAUACGAAAGCCCCAUCCAGCCCUGUGCCACCCUGUCACGACCUUAGCUGGAAUUGCCUAAGGCGUGCGGCACCCUUGCGGCCAAAGACGCGAACUUAGCUUGCGUUGCCUUAGUCGCG